CAGACAUGUUCUGUUAUUAUAACUUUUAUCUAUUUAAGGACUCUUAUAAUUGAGAAAUGAAGAGCAUUUCCACUUAACGUCCCUUUAUUGUUGUUGACAAUUUCUAUCAAUGUCACCACAGGGGAGAUGAAGUCCUCUCUACAUAGAUAAGUUAGUUUUCAACGAACCAGUUCAAGAAGCAUAUUUACCCCAACCACCAGUGGUGCAUUCUUUAAUUCCACCGUAUGAUUUAUUCGCAGGGUUGGAUGGCUUGAUCCAAAAUCUACAACCAUUACAAUGGCAGAAUGACAAAAUCAUAUUGACAUUUACUACAGUGGAAAUCAUUUCAAUACAUUUAAUCACUUCUGCGACAACGUAAAUCAUUCCAAUGUACUGAAUCCAAAUGAGUUUCCUAUGAACUUACUUAUCUCAACCACCUGCAGUACAUUCUUUAGUUGUUUGUUUCUAUUUCUCGAGUGGACUAUUGCUUAGAUACUAUUACCUAUAUAGCUGGAUUGUCAAUCUCCUCAAAUCUAACACCUUCAGAUCCAGUUCAAAUAGGAAACAAAUUGCACUAUAUAUUUAUCAUACCACUAGAAAUAUUAAAGAAAAUAUAACCAGCAUUGAUAGUCUUGUUUUUAACCAGAUUACGAGAUGAUCUUACUGUCACUAGUAUCUAUGGAAUCGUUCACAGUAAUAGAGACAGUGCUCACAGACACAUCAUCAACUUCAUCUCCUGCACUUUCAUCAGCUACAUUCUUACGGAUGCAAUUAUCACACCGUCACCACUUAUGUUUUGGAAUGGCUAGUGAAGGAAGUUGCUCCUUGGUGUUACUACUAAUUGAUCCAGCAGGUUAACAAAUAUUCAUGUCCUUCUUUCUGAUCUCAGCAACAUAUUGACUAUAUCACACAGAAAAUGAUCUAAUGGAGAAGUUAAUUUUUCAAGCGAUCACUCAACUACUAGUUAUUAUUUAGAAUUAGCCAGAUGGGAUCUAUGUGAUCAUAAAUGUUGGGGGCUGACAACAUCGGUAGAAAUUGCUUCACAUUUGCAAGGUAAACUUACCUCCUUCACCAAGUUGUUGUAUAUCUACCACGAAUUUGGCAUGAAGAUCCACUGUCCAUUAUGCACGUCAUUCGCCUAACAGUCAUGCACUUCUUAUAUUUUUCCUAAGACAAGUUGGUGUUCGAGGAAGCAUUCGUCAUCCAGUUCCUAAGAUACGAGUGAUGUACAAGAAUCAACUAGAGGAGUACACCCAAAAACUUGCGAAACAGCUUCCAAGUUAUUAAACAAACAGUGAAGGUUCUCCACAUAUGCCAAAGUUUAGAACAAUAAUAUUGGUUGAUGGAGUCAGAUACAAUAUGGAUUUGGUCCAAGUAAAACGAAGACCGGAACAAAGUGAUCAGUUUGUGAAUGAAAAUUUUAGGGGUAGACAUGCAUGAGAGAGGGGAAUAACAACUUCAAGUCAUUUAGCUGGCCCAAUUUAUGGGCAUGUUCCAGUCAUAUCAAGUACUAGUUCUGGUACUUUUGUUAACUCGAGUGCUGCUAAUGCUGGGACAAUGGCCAGACCUACUGUUAAUGCAAGACAUGUUAAAGAUGGAAGAAAUCAAAGAGUCGCAGAUGUUGCAGGAGUUGCUCAAGAUUUCACUAACUAUAAGCUCACCGUUUUGUAAGAACUGAUCAGAUAGCUCAAGACACAGCUUGUGCACACGACGACAAAAGAUUAUCCAGGAGAGAUAAGUGCCUCAGUUCCACGUUUCAACGUAGAAUUUUUUGCCAGAUGAAAUCUGUGUGCCCAGAAAUGUCGGGGAUUGACAACAUCAGAAGCAAGUUUAGUUCAGAUGUUCACAAGUAAACAAAGUUUGAUUCUGAAAUAAAUGUUACUUCAUCUGGUAUUGCAUCCUAUAUUAGAGGUGCAAUACGUGACUCAACAAAGUUCCAGUCAAGCAGCGUGAACAUAAACAGAUACAAUGGGGAGGGUAGUAGGCAUUGUGCUAGUCCCGUAGUUGUUAAACAUAACUUACAAAAACCAUCUCAAUUUCUUCAUGCAAUAGUGAGUUAGUUUACACUAGUUUUAUAUGAGGUAAACAUUGCUAAGUAUGUAAUAGUGGACCUCAAAUUAUUACAAAGGCCUUAUUCUUUUAUCUAAACUUACUGAAUUUUAUUUAUGCAAUGUAUGUUGGCAACUAGAUACUUUGUGGAGCAA